CGAACAGACUCUUGGCCGCCAGAUUCAUCUGCCGAAGAUCGCCUAACCAAGUGUAUAAAUGCUGGAUGACAAGCCCCGCCCGCGCGGGGCUUUUUGUUUGGGCGGGAUAACGCGCGACGAUCACAGCGGCUUGAACCCGCGCAACACAAUUGCGACAAACACCAUUGAAAGAUGAUCGCCGGAAGUCGCGACUGCUGCGUCGAAAGACGAUAUUAACCUCCAUAGCGCCUGAUCAGCCUGAUCGAUUUGCCGGACGCAAUGCAAUGACGCCGAAAAUGCCGCAG
rnacentral:misc_RNA from 1 species